rnacentral:rRNA from 1 species
AGAGUUUGAUCCUGGCUCAGAACGAACGCUGGCGGCAGGCUUAACACAUGCAAGUCGAGCGCCUCGCAAGAGGAGCGGCAGACGGGUGAGUAACACGUGGGAAUCUACCCAUCCUUACGGAACAACUCCGGGAAACUGGAGCUAAUACCGUAUACGCCCUUCGGGGGAAAGAUUUAUCGAGGAUGGAUGAGCCCGCGUUGGAUUAGCUAGUUGGUGGGGUAAAGGCCUACCAAGGCGACGAUCCAUAGCUGGUCUGAGAGGAUGAUCAGCCACAUUGGGACUGAGACACGGCCCAAACUCCUACGGGAGGCAGCAGUGGGGAAUAUUGGACAAUGGGCGCAAGCCUGAUCCAGCCAUGCCGCGUGAGUGAUGAAGGCCCUAGGGUUGUAAAGCUCUUUCACCGGAGAAGAUAAUGACGGUAUCCAGAGAAGAAGCCCCGGCUAACUUCGUGCCAGCAGCCGCGGUAAUACGAAGGGGGCUAGCGUUGUUCGGAUUUACUGGGCGUAAAGCGCACGUAGGCGGAUCGAUCAGUCAGGGGUGAAAUCCCAGAGCUCAACUCUGGAACUGCCUUUGAUACUGUCGAUCUGGAGUAUGGAAGAGGUGAGUGGAAUUCCGAGUGUAGAGGUGAAAUUCGUAGAUAUUCGGAGGAACACCAGUGGCGAAGGCGGCUCACUGGUCCAUUACUGACGCUGAGGUGCGAAAGCGUGGGGAGCAAACAGGAUUAGAUACCCUAGUAGUCC